AAAAAGAAUACAGCAGAAGAAUUCAAGAAAACAAGACGCAUCUCUGAUAUACUAUCCAGCAGAAACACUCAGUUUGCUUUUCGGAGCACAGAUUUCCUCAGGAGGCCACCGUAUGACAUUACCCUACCUGAAGCCCAGCAUUGUCAGUCUGUGGUGACAUCACAAUAAGAAGCACAUAUAAUUUUAUCCCUGCCUGAAGAGAAGAUCAUUGGUCGAAGUGCUUGAAGAUCUUGUGUUUUAGCUCUACAUCUGACUUAAGAGAUGCCUAAAAACAAACAUAAAUCCUCUGGAAGUGAUAAAAAUGCUUCCAAGAAAGAGGAAGGAAACAAUCCUACACUCAGUGACAUAGUUGAGGAUUUGUCAUCAUACUUUAAAAAGUUUUCUCACUUUAAAAAAUAUGAAGACGAUAUUAAAAGGAAAUACCAAAAGUAUUAUAAUACUACACUGCCUGAUCGCUGGCCAGUUGAGUUCAUCAACAAAGCUUGGAGAAAAACAACAAAACACAUGUACACAUUCUCAGACAGAAGAAAAUGCUGGUCUCUUGCUAUAUUGCUGCAGGUGAUGAAAAGAAGUCAGGGGUAUGAUGAGAGAGAAGAGCUACAGAAAAAACACAGUAAGGAUAGUAAAGCACAGUCUGACCCGAAGGGGAAAAAUCAGCAGUCUGGAGGAGAUCCCAGCGCUAAUAAAUCAGUCUACAUAUGCAUCCCAUUCACAGAGAUGAUUGACAACCAAAAAUACAAUGCCCCAGAAACAGAUCAAAACGCCACAAAAACAGAUAAAAAUGCAUCAGAAACAGAUACAAACGCCACAAAAACAGAUAAAAAUGCCACAAAAACAGAUAAAAUUGCCACAAAAACAGAUAAAAAUGCCACAAAAACAGAUAAAAUUGCCACAAAGACAGAUAAAAAUGCCUCAGAAACAGAUAAAAAUGCCACAAAGACAGAUAAAAACGCCACAAAAACUGAUAAAAACGCCACAAAAACAGAUAAAAAUGCCACAAAAACAGAUAAAAACGCC